GACCCCCAUCUCUACAAAAAUCAAAAUUACAAAGCUAGCCAGGUAUGGUGACACAUACAUGUGGUCCUAGCUACUGGGGCUGAGCCAGGAGGAUCACUUGAGCCCAGGAGUUCGAGGCUGCAGUGAACUGUGAUCACACCACUGCACUCCAGCCUGGGCAAUGAAGUGAGACCCGUUCUCUAAAAAAGAAAGAAAGAGAGGGAAGAAAGAAGACAGAGAAAAGAAGAAAGGGAAGAAAGUAAGGAGGGAGAAAUAGAGGAAGGAGGGAAGGAAGGAAGGACAAACUCACAUUG
rnacentral:lncRNA from 1 species